GGAGAGGUGGCUGAGUGGUCGAAAGCGGCACACUGCUAACGUGUUGACCCCUUAAUAAGGGUCCCAGGGUUCAAAUCCCUGCCUCUCCG
rnacentral:tRNA from 1 species